rnacentral:rRNA from 1 species
UACGGGGGGGGCAAGCGUUGUUCGGAAUUACUGGGCGUAAAGGGCUCGUAGGCGGCCAACUAAGUCGGACGUGAAAUCCCCAGGCUCAACCUGGGAACUGCGUCCGAUACUGGAUGGCUUGAAUUCGGGAGAGGGAUGCAGAAUUCCAGGUGUAGCGGUGAAAUGCGUAGAUAUCUGGAGGAACACCGGUGGCGAAGGCGGCGUCCUGGACCAACACUGACACUGAUGAGCGAAAGCCAGGGGAGCAAACGGG